CCCCGUACACAAAAAUGCACAUAUUGUGAGCUCGAUGAGUAGGGCGGGACACGUGGUAUCCUGUCUGAAUAUGGGGGGACCAUCCUCCAAGGCUAAAUACUCCUGACUGACCGAUAGUGAACCAGUACCGUGAGGGAAAGGCGAAAAGAACCCCGGCGAGGGGAGUGAAAAAGAACCUGAAACCGUGUACGUACAAGCAGUGGGAGCCUCUUUAUGGGGUGACUGCGUACCUUUUGUAUAAUGGGUCAGCGACUUAUAUUCUGUAGCAAGGUUAACCGAAUAGGGGAGCCGAAGGGAAACCGAGUCUUAACUGGGCGUUAAGUUGCAGGGUAUAGACCCGAAACCCGGUGAUCUAGCCAUGGGCAGGUUGAAGGUUGGGUAACACUAACUGGAGGACCGAACCGACUAAUGUUGAAAAAUUAGCGGAUGACUUGUGGCUGGGGGUGAAAGGCCAAUCAAACCGGGAGAUAGCUGGUUCUCCCCGAAAGCUAUUUAGGUAGCGCCUCGUGAAUUCAUCUCCGGGGGUAGAGCACUGUUUCGGCAAGGGGGUCAUCCCGACUUACCAACCCGAUGCAAACUGCGAAUACCGGAGAAUGUUAUCACGGGAGACACACGGCGGGUGCUAACGUCCGUCGUGAAGAGGGAAACAACCCAGACCGCCAGCUAAGGUCCCAAAGUCAUGGUUAAGUGGGAAACGAUGUGGGAAGGCCCAGACAGCCAGGAUGUUGGCUUAGAAGCAGCCAUCAUUUAAAGAAAGCGUAAUAGCUCACUGGUCGAGUCGGCCUGCGCGGAAGAUGUAACGGGGCUAAACCAUGCACCGAAGCUGCGGCAGCGACACUAUGUGUUGUUGGGUAGGGGAGCGUUCUGUAAGCCUGUGAAGGUGGCCUGUGAGGGUUGCUGGAGGUAUCAGAAGUGCGAAUGCUGACAUAAGUAACGAUAAAGCGGGUGAAAAGCCCGCUCGCCGGAAGACCAAGGGUUCCUGUCCAACGUUAAUCGGGGCAGGGUGAGUCGACCCCUAAGGCGAGGCCGAAAGGCGUAGUCGAUGGGAAACAGGUUAAUAUUCCUGUACUUGGUGUUACUGCGAAGGGGGGACGGAGAAGGCUAUGUUGGCCGGGCGACGGUUGUCCCGGUUUAAGCGUGUAGGCUGGUUUUCCAGGCAAAUCCGGAAAACCAAGGCUGAGGCGUGAUGACGAGGCACUACGGUGCUGAAGCGACAAAUGCCCUGCUUCCAGGAAAAGCCUCUAAGCAUCAGGUAACAUCAAAUCGUACCCCAAACCGACACAGGUGGUCAGGUAGAGAAUACCAAGGCGCUUGAGAGAACUCGGGUGAAGGAACUAGGCAAAAUGGUGCCGUAACUUCGGGAGAAGGCACGCUGAUAUGUAGGUGAAGCGACUUGCUCGUGGAGCUGAAAUCAGUCGAAGAUACCAGCUGGCUGCAACUGUUUAUUAAAAACACAGCACUGUGCAAACACGAAAGUGGACGUAUACGGUGUGACGCCUGCCCGGUGCCGGAAGGUUAAUUGAU
rnacentral:rRNA from 1 species